rnacentral:rRNA from 1 species
GAACGCUAGCUACAGGCUUAACACAUGCAAGUCGAGGGGCAGCAUGGUCUUAGCUUGCUAAGGCCGAUGGCGACCGGCGCACGGGUGAGUAACACGUAUCCAACCUGCCGUCUACUCUUGGACAGCCUUCUGAAAGGAAGAUUAAUACAAGAUGGCAUCAUGAGUCCGCAUGUUCACAUGAUUAAAGGUAUUCCGGUAGACGAUGGGGAUGCGUUCCAUUAGAUAGUAGGCGGGGUAACGGCCCACCUAGUCUUCGAUGGAUAGGGGUUCUGAGAGGAAGGUCCCCCACAUUGGAACUGAGACACGGUCCAAACUCCUACGGGAGGCAGCAGUGAGGAAUAUUGGUCAAUGGGCGAGAGCCUGAACCAGCCAAGUAGCGUGAAGGAUGACUGCCCUAUGGGUUGUAAACUUCUUUUAUAAAGGAAUAAAGUCGGGUAUGGAUACCCGUUUGCAUGUACUUUAUGAAUAAGGAUCGGCUAACUCCGUGCCAGCAGCCGCGGUAAUACGGAGGAUCCGAGCGUUAUCCGGAUUUAUUGGGUUUAAAGGGAGCGUAGAUGGAUGUUUAAGUCAGUUGUGAAAGUUUGCGGCUCAACCGUAAAAUUGCAGUUGAUACUGGAUAUCUUGAGUGCAGUUGAGGCAGGCGGAAUUCGUGGUGUAGCGGUGAAAUGCUUAGAUAUCACGAAGAACUCCGAUUGCGAAGGCAGCCUGCUAAGCUGCAACUGACAUUGAGGCUCGAAAGUGUGGGUAUCAAACAGGAUUAGAUACCCUGGUAGUCCACACGGUAAACGAUGAAUACUCGCUGUUUGCGAUAUACUGCAAGCGGCCAAGCGAAAGCGUUAAGUAUUCCACCUGGGGAGUACGCCGGCAACGGUGAAACUCAAAGGAAUUGACGGGGGCCCGCACAAGCGGAGGAACAUGUGGUUUAAUUCGAUGAUACGCGAGGAACCUUACCCGGGCUUAAAUUGCAGAUGAAUUACGGUGAAAGCCGUAAGCCGCAAGGCAUCUGUGAAGGUGCUGCAUGGUUGUCGUCAGCUCGUGCCGUGAGGUGUCGGCUUAAGUGCCAUAACGAGCGCAACCCUUGUUGUCAGUUACUAACAGGUUCCGCUGAGGACUCUGACAAGACUGCCAUCGUAAGAUGUGAGGAAGGUGGGGAUGACGUCAAAUCAGCACGGCCCUUACGUCCGGGGCUACACACGUGUUACAAUGGGGGGUACAGAGGGCCGCUACCACGCGAGUGGAUGCCAAUCCCCAAAACCUCUCUCAGUUCGGACUGGAGUCUGCAACCCGACUCCACGAAGCUGGAUUCGCUAGUAAUCGCGCAUCAGCCACGGCGCGGUGAAUACGUUCCCGGGCCUUGUACACACCGCCCGUCAAGCCAUGGGAGCCGGGGGUACCUGAAGUGCGUAACCGCGAGGAGCGCCCUAGGGUAAAACUGAUGACUGGGGCUA